GCUCUUCGUUGGUCAUUCAUUGUUCCUCGAUUCUUUCUUUAGCUAACUUGCUCUUUCUUGCAACUUCUUCUUCAGCUGUAGGCUUAAUGUUGUAGCUUGCUCCUAAUACCAUAGAGCCAAGAGGGCUUCAUCUUCCGCAACAGAAAUGGAAGCGCCGACCAUGAGGGCGUCAGUAAUAUGGUCUGGCUUAGCUGUUGAGCAGUGAGCUGACUCUUCUUUCUCCGACAACUUUUUUC
rnacentral:lncRNA from 1 species